AUUGAACGCUGGCGGCAGGCCUAACACAUGCAAGUCGAGCGGAUGACGGGAGCUUGCUCCUUGAUUCAGCGGCGGACGGGCGAGUAAUGCCUAGGAAUCUGCCUGGUAGUGGGGGACAACGUUUCGAAAGGAACGCUAAUACCGCAUACGUCCUACGGGAGAAAGCAGGGGACCUUCGGGCCUUGCGCUAUCAGAUGAGCCUAGGUCGGAUUAGCUUGUUGGUGAGGUAAUGGCUCACCAAGGCGACGAUCCGUAACUGGUCUGAGAGGAUGAUCAGUCACACUGGAACUGAGACACGGUCCAGACUCCUACGGGAGGCAGCAGUGGGGAAUAUUGGACAAUGGGCGAAAGCCUGAUCCAGCCAUGCCGCGUGUGUGAAGAAGGUCUUCGGAUUGUAAAGCACUUUAAGUUGGGAGGAAGGGUUGUAGAUUAAUACUCUGCAAUUUUGACGUUACCGACAGAAUAAGCACCGGCUAACUCUGUG
rnacentral:rRNA from 1 species